CUAUUUUGGCAGAUAAAUGCAAUAAAUUUAGAAUUUAUUUAUAUAAUAUAGAUUAUAAGUAGUA
rnacentral:tRNA from 1 species